rnacentral:rRNA from 1 species
UACAGAGGUCUCAAGCGUUGUUCGGAUUCAUUGGGCGUAAAGGGUGCGUAGGCGGCGCGGUAAGUCGGGUGUGAAAUCUCGGAGCUUAACUCCGAAACUGCAUUCGAUACUGCCGUGCUUGAGGACUGGAGAGGAGACUGGAAUUUACGGUGUAGCGGUGAAAUGCGUAGAUAUCGUAAGGAAGACCAGUGGCGAAGGCGGGUCUCUGGACAGUUCCUGACGCUGAAGCGCGAAAGCUAGGGGAGCAAACGGG